ACAAGGGAGACAAGUGUUAUACUGUUUCAUGAUUUCUGCUUAGGUUUAGAUAUUAAUUAAACAGACAAAUGUUGAUAUCCUGUUCUAAUCUAUUCGCUAAAAGGAUUUUAUUUGUAAAAUCCUUUUAGUGAAUUUGAGAAAAACUACCGAAAGUACUCUUUGACUUGCCGUAAAGUUAGACAUUUCAUUUCUAUUUCCUUAUAUUUUAUUUAUUUAGCAUACCAGGUAGGUUUUCGGGACUUACACCAGGACAGAGGAUAGGAAUUAGCAGAGUUAUUGAGAGCGAGAUAUAUAAACUAACGACUCUUUAAAUCGAGCAUCAACAUUUUAUUUAACGAUGCCAUUGUCAUUCUUCACUAAAAGUUUUGUUUCUAAGAAUACAGCGAAGGCUGACAAUGGGGUAAGGUCAUCUCGACGGAAAAGGCGCUUAAUCUCCAGAUCUCAGAUCAUUAAAAUGGUAUGUCAAGUGUAGCAAACUCAUAAGAGGCUGAGAGAGAACAUAGGUUCGUUUGCCCGAACAGGAGAAAUUGUUGAUUUCUCAUUGGUUAAAAAUCACUGCCCAUAUACGAAUUCUAAACUUUCGUUAAAAAAAUCUUUCACGAAGUACGGUUCUUAGAAUUCGUGUAUGAGCAGUUAUAAAAACCCUGAUUUUUGGGGAAUUAUUCAGUGAUCGUUGAUUGUCACUCAAAUCCACGAUACCCACUCUCCAGUGAUCGUUGGUUUUCACUCAAAUCCACGACACUCACUCUUUUGAGUAUUGGCUAAUCUUUAUGUCAUGUUUAUUACUCAAAUCCAACAAGAUUGAAUUGUUGUGAACGUUAGUACAGAUUUUAAGUUAUAAUAAUUACGACAAAAUGUUAACUUUCCAUUAAUACUUAUAUACGUAAAUAAACUAAUGUAGAAAUUA